rnacentral:sRNA from 2 species
AGGGCGAAAUUGUGAGGUUUGUCUUUUUCGAUGAACCAGCCAACCAACCAACCAACCGUCUCUGUAAGUUUGUAUGAACCCUUUCUCUGGUUUGUAUGAUUUUUACCUCAAUGUAUAUAUAUCUAUACAAGGUGGUGAUGAUGAUGAUGAUGAUGAGGGGUGGAUAUGUUGAUCGUACGCUUGAUUUGUUCUGCCACUAUCCUAUUUGUCCUCCAAGGCCAUUCAUUCGGUCUAGGGGCUUAUGUUAGGGUAGAACCGUCACAGCGCCGCCCGAGUGUGGAGGGAAAGGUAGGUUUAUCUACGUUUCGGAUGUGCAUCAUUACUCUGUGUAUGGCCGCCCAUUAUUUCCCGCCAGUGGCCGGCUUAAAUUGGGGGCCAGGGGGG